rnacentral:ncRNA from 1 species
AGAAAGACAUUGAAGAGAAGAAGUAGAGAAUCGUUCUUUUAACAGAAAGCUACCGGUUGAUGAGAGGUGCAAAAAGAAAGUCUUGAAAUACAUCUCGGAGUUUCACACUGAAUCAUACUAAGUAUGUAGUAGGCUGUGACGGGUGCAACCGUUAUAUUGAUAGGGUAUAAUCCAUUAUUCGAAAGUAUGUAGAUGAGAUGGCGUACCUGAUGAGACCGAAGUAGUAAUACUAUGGUGAAUAAAGGUGGUAACACGUGAGAAUAGAUGCUCUCGUCCUUUGU